GUGCUCCUUCGGCAGCAUAUAUAUUAAAAUUGGAACAAUACAGAGAUUAACAUGGCCCCUGCGCAAGAAUGGCAUGCAAAUUCAUGAAGCAUUCCAUAUUUUU
rnacentral:snRNA from 1 species